GGGUGUAUAAGUCAACGGUUAGACUAACAGCCUUUUAAGCUGUAGAUGAGGGUUCGAUUCCCUCUGCACCUA
rnacentral:tRNA from 1 species